GCCCCCCUAGCUCAGUCGGUAGAGCGUUUCCAUGGUAAGGAAGAGGUCAACGGUUCGAUUCCGUUGGGGGGCUC
rnacentral:tRNA from 2 species